AACACCAAGAAUUGAAGAUUGGAAGCACUCAUUGGAAGAGGAAGGAGAUCUUGGUGCAAGAAUUCCAUUUUUUCUUCCACAUCUUUAUUUCAAACUCGGUGAUGUAUUCUAAGACAAUCUCCUAUUUUUCUUCCAUUAUUAUGAGUAGUUAAAUUUCAUGUUAGGGCGAACAAUGUAAUCUUUUGGAACCCUUUAUUUCAU
rnacentral:lncRNA from 1 species